rnacentral:rRNA from 1 species
AUUGAACGCUGGCGGCAGGUCUAACACAUGCAAGUCGAGCGGGGUUUUCGGACCUAGCGGCGGAAGGGUGAGUAAUGCGUAGGAAGCUGCCCGAUAGAGGGGGAUACCAGUUGGAAACGACUGUUAAUACCGCAUAAUGUCUACGGACCAAAGUGUGGGACCUUCGGGCCACAUGCUAUCGGAUGCGCCUACGUGGUUUUAGCUAGUUGGUGAGGUAAUGGCUCACCAAGGCGACGAUCUCUAGCUGGUUUGAGAGGAUGAUCAGCCACACUGUAACUGUGACACGGUCGAGACACCUACGGGAGGCAUCAGUGGGGAAUAUUGGACAAUGGUCGCAAGCCUGAUCCAGCCAUGCCGCGUGUGUGAAGAAGGCCUUCGGGUUGUAAAGCACUUUCAGCGAGGAGGAAGGGGUGUGUGUUAAUAGUACACACCUUUGACGUUACUCGCAGAAGAAGCACCGGCUAACUCUGUGCCAGCCGCCGCUGUAACAC